rnacentral:sRNA from 1 species
CAGACUCAGCCCAAGUCUCCAUGUCCAUCACCUGGGACACUGUCUGAGGAACUCUGUGAGGAGAGCCUUUUCCACAGAGAAAUGAGAGCACCCUCAGACCUUUUCCUCUAAAUGAAGUGCUUGCUGAAUGAGGAAUGGGACUUUCCAACAUCUUUUGGAAAGAUACUUUUUUUCCAUUAUGCAUCAACCUGAAAAGCUUUCAGAUAUGUAAUAACAAGAAAGAGAGACAGCGAGAUCUAUGGAGAAUGCCUUCGGGUGCUGAAGUGCUGAAGUGCUACCUGGCUUUAAGCAAGAUUGCUGAAACCUGUAGUUUUUAUAGCUUAUAAACUCAGUUGAUGUUUCCCAUUCAUGGAGGAUACUGGUACCAGAAGAUUGGAUUGUGUAAUUGUGUUAGCUUCCUGCAUAUUUGGGUAAA